rnacentral:misc_RNA from 1 species
GUGUGUGUGUGUGUGUGUCUGUAAUAUACCAAAAUUAUUUGUUUAUUAACUUAAAUUAUAUUACAUUAGUAUAAAAUAAUUAAUAAUUAUUAAUUGGGAUUUCUACUUGCACUGCAAGUCGAACCCAUGACAAUUGCAAACGAAGAUGAAAUUUUUUUCACUUUGCCAAAUUGUGGCCGAUUAAAGAUUGGUGCUAUUAAUAUAUUUUGUGUUAACUUGAAUUAUUUAAUUAUUUUCCUAUCUUAUUAUUUUUUUUAUAUCUCGAAAGUAUAUAACAAGUUUUUCUAUUUAUUGUGCUAUAUUAAAAUUUUAUUCUAAGUUUUGUUUCAUUA